GGCGGGCUGCGCCGGGGUCCCGGCUCUGCGCUGCUGUGCAGUGCGCGGAAUUUUCUUUCCAAGCGGCCGCCUGGUUAUGCCCGCGGCUCCCUCCGCCCACACUUCGCCGCUCCCGGCGCAGAAACCUCACAGAAUAUUUAUACACUGCUGAGGGCUGGGAACCCAGCGGAAUCGGUCGAGGCCCUGCCCUGCGGAUGCUCCUGUCGGUAAGAGACAGCCACACACAGAUGCUGGCAGCCAUGCAGAGACAAGAGAGAAACCUCUGGCUAUAGACCCAGAGGAGAAGGUACCAUGACUGGGGGAGGAGGUUCUCUGGUUUUACAAAGCAAAGGACGUGUGGCAAGUCAGCAAGACCACGUGGCCAAGCCAGUUACACAGCCCUGUCAUGGUCCAGCACACGAGCAAAAAUAGCCCGCAGCCCCCAGAGCUGACUGUGCGCCGGGCGUGCCAAGCGCUGUGUGUGA
rnacentral:lncRNA from 1 species